rnacentral:rRNA from 1 species
AGCCGGGGUUUCUUUACCAGGUACUGUCAUUAUCAUCCCUGGCGAAAGUGCUUUACGACCCUAGGGCCUUCAUCACACACGCGGCAUGGCUAGAUCAGGCUUGCGCCCAUUGUCUAAGAUUCCC